CUUAAGCGCGCGCGCGAACACACACACACACACACACACACACACACACACAAGAAGAAGCGUAUUUAACUCAUGCAGCACAACGUAAAAUAACGUCAUUGUCUGCAUGUGUCCACAUAUAUACAUAUUCAUAUGUAUGUCUGUAUAUACAUAUAUAUGUAUAUAUAUAUACAUACAUACAUCAAUAUAUGUGUAUAUAUAUAUAUGUAUAUAUAUAUAUAUAUAUAUAUAUAUAUAUAUAUAUAUAUAUAUCAAGGAAUUGCUCCAAGCGUACACCGAGCUUGCUCACAUACGUAUGCAUACACACAUUACACACACACACACACACACACACACAUAUAUCUAUAUGUAUACAUAUAUACGCAGUACACACACAUUACGCACACACGCAUAUAACGCUGUACACACGUAUAUAUCUUUUCAUCUCAAAUUUCAUAUUUACAUUUCGCUUGGCCCAUUAAUACAUUGAGAUCCGAAUACUUCCAAAGAAUUACUGCAGAUACAUGCGUUUUUGUUAUAUAAUAUUUACACCAGGAUAAUUUCCUACGUGUACAUAUAUGUGUGUGUUUCGGUGACUGUGUGUGUGUGUGUGUUUGCCGUGUGUGUAUGUGUGCGUGUGAUUGUACGUGUGUGCGAUUGUCUUUACAGCGCGUUUCUACAGUAUGUGUAUGUGUGUGUGCGUUCAAUUGAUCGAUAUGAGAGUGUUUUAUAGCGUAUAUUUUUCAGUGUAUGUUAUGUAAUUAUAUGAUUACACAUCAGAGGCCUAGAAUGUACAUCGCAUGUGAGUGUGUGGGCCAAUACAUACAUACAUACAUACAUACACACACGAACACACACGCAUAUAUAUGUGUGUGUAUGUGCGUGUGUGUAUGUGUGUGUGUGUGUAUGUGUGUGUAUGUAAUCUCUUUGAACUCUUUAAAUAUCCGAACACUAUUCAUAUUGCUGAAAUUACGUCAGGAUUUACUCAAGCAAAAGAGAUAACUACAAAUUAAUAGAAAAGUUAAGAGGAAGUAAUAACCAUUUAUAUGGAAGCCAUAGACACACACACGCACACACACACACACACAUGUUUACAUGUGAAAAGAUAUAUAUACGUAUAUGUAUCUAUAUGCAUCUAAAUACAUGCGUGGCUAUCUAGACAUGCUCUCAUAUAUAUAUAAAUAUAUAUAUAUAUAUAUAUAUAUAUAUAUAUAUAUAUAUAUAUAUAUAUAUAUAUAUAUAUAUAUAUAUAUACAUAUAUAUAUAUGUGUAUAUAUAUAUAUAUAUAUAUAUAUACGGAGAGAGAGAGAGGUUGAGGGCGUAAGAGGGGGAUGGAUAAAUAGAUAGACAGACAGAUAGAUAAGGAUAGAUAGAUUUGUACGGAGGUAAUAUGUUCAUCGGAAUUUACGGCAGAAUCAGCGAGAGACUACGUCUUGUCGUUCUCUCUUCUAGUGAGGCCAUCAUUAGAAUGCAGCCCUUAUUUCCUUCCGAUAUCGCUAAUAUAAAUUUCCUGUCAAAUACUGCUUUCAAUGAUAUUCUGUGCCUACGAAACAUCCUAGAUAUGCAUGCGUUUGUCAUCAUUUUUUCAAGGCAUUUAUGAGAAUGUUUUAUUGGAGCAAUCCUGAAUAGAGAUUCAGUUGUCUAUCGGAAUACAGAUGCGACCGAUCGAGCGAAUCAGGGCUCAGGUUCUCAACUACAAGAUCAACAUCUCCGUUAAUGGAACGCCAUGUAAAAUAUGUUUAUUUAUCUGUAUAUUGCUAGUUGAAAGCUUUGGGAAUGUUACCCUCUUAAUUUAUCGUCUUAUAUCUAACAUACAGUUCAUUGUUAAUAUUAUUAGCAAUAGAUAUGUCUUGAGCUAGCACACUUGUCACUCCCCUUAGACAAAUAACUUGCAGUAUUUUUCGCGACUUUAUUAAUAAAGCAGCAAAUACAUCACAAAAACGGUGUCUCAGAGUUACAUGUUCUCCUUCCUCGGACAGUUUUGGUUGAGAAAAACUCUCCAACGAACGGGAACGUGAAACUCUGAGCAAGAGAUACUGAUCUGUAUUUGUAGCUUUAUUAAUAAAGCAUGCUAAUUUACCUCCUAUAUUCAAGUAUUAUUUUUUGCCACCUUGUUUCACAUUUAUAUGCUUCCUCUGGUAUAUAUACAACACUCAACACAUUUAUUGGGAGUUAUAUGUAUGGAAGAAAACAAUUGGCUUCUUCAAAAAGCUUGAGGUUUAUCUUCAGGCAUUUUGAAUUUGAUUAGCCCGAAGCUUGAAAACUGGGGUACCAACGAGUUGGAAUGAAACUGUUUUGAUAUGUAUAUAUAUAUAUAUAUAUAUAUAUAUAUAUAUGAAUAUAAUGUAUACAUAUAUAUAUAUAUAUAUAUAUAUAUAUAUAUAUAUAUAUAUAUAUAUAUAUAUAUAUAUAUAUAUAUAUAUGUCUAUAUAUAUAUAUGUAUCUAUAUAUAUAUAUAUAUAUAUAUAUAUACAGAUACAUCAUAUAUAUAUAUAUAUGAUGUAUAUAUGUCUAUACAUAUCAUAUAUAUAUAUAUAUAUAUAUAUAUAUAUAUAUAUAUAUAUAUAUAUAUAUAUGUGUGUGUGUAUUUGUGUAUUCACAAAGAUUUGUCAAUUAAUUAAGAACAACUGAUUUAGCAAUCUUUAAAUUAUAGAGGAAAAUAACAUUUUGUCUUUUCCUUUAUGAGUGUAGUGUAUCAGUUGUUUCCGCUCUCCGACAGAAUACAGACUUCCCAUAUAAGAACCGUUUAUGUAGGAAUUAAAAUAUUUCGAGUGAACAGAUCUGGAGUAAAUUGCAUUAUGAAUAAACACCUGUGCAUAUAUAACAAAAUUACCGUUGAAGGCAAUUACGCUACUCGAAGUGAAUAUCCAGCAUGGAAACCAUCAUCGACUGGCUUAAAGCACCAUCGUGUAUGAAAUGCGAUCAAAUCAAUUGACAAUAAGCAACAGGGUAUCGGUCGCAGCUUGGUUUCUCGAAAUGCUACAGGAUAACUGAUAAAUCGUAACUCAUCCUCUUGAAAACAAUAAUAAAAAAAAACACACUGGAUUGUCUGAGAUACGCGAUACAUGUUAAAUUAUGGGUAAGGAAGGAUCGAAUAUUUUUGUGCCCAUUUCUGACUCUAUGCCGCAUGAAUGUAGUUUCGGGGUCAAAUAUCAAGAACACUUGGUUUUUGUCUUGGUGUAGGAUAUACCUGCACUGAACACAUCCUACGUACAGCACUCUCAAAACAGUGAAAGCAAGAGUACCAAAACAAACCAUAGCAGCUACUCAAGGAUCGCAGUGUUGCGCUCGGUAGUGCAGUGAAAGUACGUUAUGAAAAUAAGAAAGUUGCAUAAAAAUAAGUUGAGACGUGACGUAUCUCAUUACACAGGAACUUGUUGCACGAUAUUUGAGAUGGCAGCUUACUUACGGAGGGACUAACAUCAGCGGUUACUUUCGGAGCAGAAUACGAGCUUGUAAUCCGCGCCGUCACCAACUUCAGUACGAUUUCCAUGGGGGACAAUGACGACAUACAAGCCUUCACGAUUGAACAAAACUACUAAAUUCUCCUCCAAAUGCACCCUCAAAGAUAAAUCAUGAAGUCUUUCCGCAGGUUCCAAGACUGACCCCAUAACUCAACUGGUCUUCUUUCGGCUGUCAAAGUAAAUUGAAUAGUUUCUGUGUAGCAGAGAUGAAAACAAAAAUAAUAUCAGUUGAAGCAAUCGAGACAUAGCAUGCAAGCUGCACUUCAAAUUUCAACACUUGUCUAACGAACGAAGUUUAAGAUAUUUCCAGGAUAUUGAUUUUCAAGAAAUCUAGUUAAAUUCUGUGAAUGACCAGAAAGCUGAGGUGAAAGAAGAAAAAAUUAGAGACAUUCGAAAUAGGCUGCACAUAGAGGAAAUAAAAGAAAAUUGGAUGUAAAAGAUUUUUGUGCAUUCUUGAGAAGCAAAAUAUCAGGUUCCCAUUGUAGCUGUUGACGUACAAGCAUACAUACGCCUGCACACACACACACUCACACAUUCCCCAUACAUACAUAUAUAUAUGUGUGCGUAUGGAAAGCGGAGGAGAGAGAGCAAGAGAUCUAACACCUUCAUAUAUACAUGAUAAUGUAUAUGAAAUAUGCAUGUUGUCUAUAUAUAUAUAUAUACAUAUAUGGAAAUAAUAUAUAAGUGAGCAACAAAGAGGUACAGUUGCGAAUCCCUUACGGCCGUUUCGAAUGACUACUUUAAUUGAUUAAUCAAAACAUUACGUCAUUGUAAAGAAACCGUUUUCGUCAGAUGGAUUCAUGAACUUCAAAAUAAAAAACAUGCAGAAAGAUUUCACAUAGUUUAAAAUCCAUGGAACAAAAUCAUUUACAGUGAUCCUGCUACUAUUUCAGUUGACAGAAUGGAUUUACCAGAAUAAUGUAUAUUAGAUCAGAACUGGAAUUUAGGGGUUAGUAGAGGUUUUAGGAAGGAAUAAUGGACACCAGUGACCCAAUUAUUAAUACUUCUAACAAGAGAGGAGGGCGCGGCACCAAUAAUCUAAAUUUAUUUAUUAAGCAGUUGUUUAAUAACUACUGGUCAGUGGUAAGAAAAUAUUCGUAAAUAGUUGUGAUAUAAAGUACAUAUCUGAAUGGCUAAGGGCGAAUUUCUUCACUCAGAUGGGUCUAAUUGUCUAUAUACACUACAAGAACAUCAUUCGGAUACAGAUUAGAAAUUCAGACACAGUAAGAAGUAUUUCGGUGAUAUUUAUAACAUGAGUUGAUAAGUGUAUGAUAAAAUAAACUUUCAUGGCGGUGACAUUUCAAUCAUGUCUGCCGUCUGUCUAAGUAUUGUCGCAAAAAUAUAUCAACUUAAAUAGAGUCAAUCGGAGAUAGACAUUGGAAGUAAGUAUUAUAUAUAUGUGUGUGUAUAUAUAUAUAUAUAUAUAUAUAUAUAUAUAUAUAUAUAUAUAUAUAUAUAUAUCCCAAAAUAAAUCUCUGAGCGAGGUAUAAACGGUAGCUGCAACACAUCGUGAAGCAUAUUUGCCAUUUAAAUAUGACUAGCCCCCUAAGCGUGGAUGCUAGUGUAGCUUGUAGCCCCAGGAGGACACCUCCUCCAUCUGGCUAUAGACACACGUUCUGUGCCCUAUCAGUAUUUGCAAAGGGAAGCCAUCCUUCUCGUCUUCAACCUAUGAUACACACGGACUCGAUUUUCUGAGUAUUGACCCGUCGUCAGCGUGUGACAAUUAUGGUUUCUCUUAUUUAUAGGCUUGUAGCCUGAAUAUAGAAAGAACGUUACAAUCACAUACAAACAAUACAAAAUUUGGGGUACAUAAAUCAAAUAAUAAAUACGAGAUGAGUUCAGUUGAGUCAAUGUUAUGUCUGACUCUCUCCAUCUAUUUUGAUUUUCCUCUGUCUUAGUGUUUAUCUUUGGUUUAGACUCUAUUUCACUUUGCUUAUCAGUUACAUUCACUCUUUCUUUCAUUAUUGCAUCUUCAUCAGACCCGGGUUGCUCACUAAUUAUUUCAUCUGUAGUAUCUUCUUCAGCUGCAACUUCGUUUCUUAUAUCCAUUAAUGAUUGUUUAAUUUCGUCAACCUCUAAUUAUUAUUAUUAUUAUUAUUAUUAUUAUUAUUAUUAUUAUUAUUAUUAUUAUAAUUAUUAUAAUUAUUAUUAUUAUUAUUAUUAUUAUUAUUAUAAUUAUUAUUAUUAUUAUUAUUAUUAUUAUUAAUUAUUAUUAUUAUUAUUAUUAUUAUUAUUAUUAUUAUUAUUAUUAUUAUUAUUAUUAAAUACCUUCGUUAUACGAUGAUUUGGUAGAGCUUAUAAAUCAGCAACGGCACAUGAAACCGACAUCACAGCGUAAUAAUAAUAAUAUAAUUCGAUCGCCAGAUAAUUUAAAUCCCCCCUUGACGUACUCUACUAGCUAUAAAGAUACUCUUUGACAUUUUCAGGCAGGAAAGUAUUGUUUCGUUAGCAUUAGAGUCUUCCUCUCACGGAUUCGGACACUUACUCAAUUAUUAAACCAGUUCUGUUACAAUUUUAUCAACAGUUUUCUCUGUUCAAGACCCAGUUUUUGCUAAUUAGUUGGAUAUAGAAAUAGCUUUAGUAUUCCAAGAUCUAAAUCGUUAAUUAAUAGUUGAUUAAUGUUAAUGUAGUUACAAUUAUUCUUUUUCUCGCAUUGUCAACUUUCUGUCUGUAAAGCUUUCACGGCUUAUCUUCUCUCUCGUUUCAUUCACUUCUUAUAAAGAUUUGAGUCGUGUGUAAUAAAUUGCUCGGUAUUCUUCUGUCGAAUAGUUUCCUUGUUAGAACUGACUUCAUAUUUUGAUCAGAAAUCUUAGACAGAUCGAUUUUUUGGGAUAGUGUGAAUCUGACAUUUAAAACAUAUUCAAUUUGAAAAGUACUUAAUAAAAAGCAAAAUAUAGCAUAAAUGUAGAUGCUAAAUUAAUAUAAGGUAUAUAUUAUCUUCGCAGAAGUGAAAUGAAAAUAAACAGCAGUGAAAAUGUAAAACAUAAACGGAAAUUACGUGGCGACGGUUUGACAUUUCUAAACAAAAUAACUUCGACUCGAACUAAAAUGGAGGUACAGUAACACCGCGCAGUGUGUUCGGUGAAAAAAAUUAUACAUACAUACAUCUCUCUCUAUAUAUAUAUAUAUAUAUAUAUAUAUAUAUAUAUAUAUAUAAAUAUGUGUGUGUGUGUGUGUGUGUGUGUGUGUAUGUAUGUAGGUAUAUAUAUAUAUAUAUAUAUAUAUAUAUAUAUAUAUAUACAUAUAUAUAUGGGGUGCUGAAUUCUCCCUAUAUCUAUGGUGUGCAUGGUUGUGUGUGUCUACGUGUAUGUGUGUUUGUGAGUGUAUACAUAUACAUACAGAGGCAUAUACGCACACACACGCACACACACAUAUGCACACAUGUAGUGAUCUGUUUAAUGUCACAGGGAGGAAAAAAACUUCAUUAUUUAAAAUGACUUAAUUGGAGAUGGAAAAUAUAUGCUAGUUCAGAAUUGUUGGCAGCUCGAAAUAAAAAAAAAAGGGUCGUUAAUUUAUACGAAGAAAUAAGAUUGUUAAUUUAAAUAUAGUUAAUAUUGUAAACGAGAAAACUUUCCUUAUACGCAAGUGACAUAUAUGAAUAUAUUUCUGGGAAUAUAGACAUGACGAACGCACAAUAUCAAAACUGCGGUAUCAGGAACUAGUGAUAUUAGUAAAAGUCAAUUUAAAUAUUCUUCUAAUAAUGAUUCACGUAUUUGUGAAAAUACGCCAAGAAUAUUUAGCAACUCCGCGUGUUUGUUCAUAUUUUCGAUUUUCAUAUAUCUUCAUUCAAAAUUUAAGUCAACGUCUAUAUAUAUAUAUAUAUAUAUAUAUAUAUAUAUAUAUAUAUAUAUAUAUAUAUAUAUGAAAAUACAAUAGGAUAUAACGAUAAAUUAAUACAUUAUGACAUAUAUAUCCACACACAUACAUACACAUUCACACACAUACACACAAACACACACGCGAAACACAAACGCGCGCGCCUGUGUGUGUACAUAUAUAAAUAAGUAUGAUUAUAUCUAUAUAUCUUUAUGCAUAUAUAUAUAUAUAUAUAUAUAUA
rnacentral:lncRNA from 1 species